CAAAGGCUUGGUCCUGACUUUAUUAUCAAUUCUAGCUAGACUUACACAUGCAAGCAUCCGCACACCCGUGAGAAUGCCCUGUAGUUCCCUGCUUGGGAACAAGGAGCUGGUAUCAGGCACAAAAAUUAGCCCAUGACGCCUUGCUUAGCCACACCCUCAAGGGAAUUCAGCAGUGAUAAACAUUAAGCCAUGAGUGAAAACUUGACUUAGUCAAAGCUAAGAGGGCCGGUAAAUCUCGUGCCAGCCACCGCGGUUAUACGAGGGACCCAAGUUGAUAAACACCGGCGUAAAGAGUGGUUAGGAUAAACAUUAAACUAAAGCCGAACAUCUUCAAAGCUGUUAUACGCACACGAAGAACAGAAACUCAACCACGAAAGUGG
rnacentral:rRNA from 1 species